rnacentral:rRNA from 1 species
UACAGAGGUCUCAAGCGUUGUUCGGAAUCACUGGGCGUAAAGGGUGCGUAGGCGGGUCUUUAAGUCAGGGGUGAAAUCCUGGAGCUCAACUCCAGAACUGCCUUUGAUACUGAGGAUCUUGAGUACGGGAGAGGUGAGUGGAACUGCGAGUGUAGAGGUGAAAUUCGUAGAUAUUCGCAAGAACACCAGUGGCGAAGGCGGCUCACUGGCCCGUAACUGACGCUGAGGCACGAAAGCGUGGGGAGCAAACCGG